rnacentral:rRNA from 1 species
AACGAACGCUGGCGGCAUGCCUAACACAUGCAAGUCGAACGAGACCUUCGGGUCUAGUGGCGCACGGGUGCGUAACGCGUGGGAACCUGCCCUUAGGUUCGGAAUAACUCCCCGAAAGGGGUGCUAAUACCGGAUAAUGUCUUCGGACCAAAGAUUUAUCGCCUUUGGAUGGGCCCGCGUUGGAUUAGCUAGUUGGUAGGGUAAAAGCCUACCAAGGCGACGAUCCAUAGCUGGUCUGAGAGGAUGAUCAGCCACACUGGGACUGAGACACGGCCCAGACUCCUACGGGAGGCAGCAGUGGGGAAUAUUGGACAAUGGGCGAAAGCCUGAUCCAGCAAUGCGGCGUGAGUGAUGAAGGCCUUAGGGUUGUAAAGCUCUUUUACCCGGGAUGAUAAUGACAGUACCGGGAGAAUAAGCUCCGGCUAACUCCGUG